UACAGUCGCAAACUUAGAGGUGCAGAGAUUCGUUAUUCAGCGACUGAGUUGGAGGCUUUAGCUGUUGUUGAAGCUAUUAAAGCAUUUCAUCCAUAUGUAUAUGGCCAUAAAUUUCAUGUCUAUACGGAUCAUAAGCCAUUAAUCUAUAUUUUUAAACGUCCAACUAAAUCAGCUAGAAUGACCCGCUGGAGUCAUGAAAUAAUGAGUUAUGAUUGUAAAGUCUUCUAUAAAGAGGGAGCAAGUAAUCAUGUACCAGAUCUCUUAUCAAGGCAGAUUAGUCCAAUAACAUCUGUAGAUUUGACCACCUUAGAUCCUAAAGCAUUUCGUGCAUUGCAGGUUGAAGACUCUCUUUACAAAGAAAUUAUAGAUUUUCUUGAAGGUCGAUCAUUCCCUAAGCGGAAAUUACCUGCAAGAUUGGACGAGUUUGACUUGAUAGAUGGAGUUCUAUAUCACGUCAAAGAUAAGGCUUCUGGUUUGAGCUGUUUGUAAGCUGCUGGAAACUAAGAUAAACUUUACAACCCCUUAUCAUCCAGAAAGUAAUGGGUUAUGUGAAAGGACUAACAGAAUAGUUAAAGAUACUUUAUAUGCACUAACUGAGAAGAAUCCUCGUCUAUGGGACACGAUGAUACCUCAUGUUAGGUUUGCUAUCAACUCUUCAGUUAACAGAAAGCCACUGGUCUGACGGCACGCUGGACAGGUCCCUUAAGGAUCACAAAGCGCACUGGACCUGUGACUUAUCUGGUGAAAGACUUGGUAAAGAACAGUGUUUAUCGACUUCAUCGUAAUGAUAUGCUGUCCUACGAGGCACAAGACGAACUGGAGAUAGUGAGUCCAGAUGGUGUUCUUGCAGAACACUCUCCUGAUGAUCCGUUAAGUGUUAUGAUGUUAUCUCUUGUGAGAAGAUUUACAGGCUAUCUGCAUGGUCUGUUCCUGCCGCUGUCCUGAUCAAUGAAACCAAGUGGAUCUGAUGCUGUUUGCUGCUGUCAUCCCAGUGGAUUGAAUGUCAUGACUUCUUGCAGCCCUGUUCCAGCCUCCGACCACCUUGUGGAGUCCCACGGCUUAGAAUCCUGCCUUAUCUCU